rnacentral:sRNA from 1 species
UACAGCUCAAAGUGAGCCUUAGCCUGGU